rnacentral:tRNA from 1 species
UCCCUGGUGGCUCAGAUGGUAAAGCAUCUGCCUACAAUACAGGAGACCUGGGUUCAAUCCCUGGGUUGGGAA